rnacentral:tRNA from 1 species
GAGGAUGUAGCUCAGUGGUAGAGCACUUGCCUAGCACGCAGGAGGCCCUGAGUUUGAGCCCCAGCACCCCCC